rnacentral:rRNA from 1 species
GCACAAGCGGUGGAGCAUGUGGUUUAAUUCGACGCAACGCGAAGAACCUUACCUGGGCUCGAAAUGUAGUGGACCGGGGUAGAAAUAUCCCUUUCUAGCAAUAGACUGCUAUAUAGGUGCUGCAUGGCUGUCGUCAGCUCGUGUCGUGAGAUGUUGGGUUAAGUCCCGCAACGAGCGCAACCCUUAUCUUCAGUUGCUACCAUUUAGUUGAGCACUCUGACGAAACCGCCUCGGAUAACGGGGAGGAAGGUGGGGAUGACGUCAAGUCCUCAUGGCCUUUAUGUCCAGGGCUACACACGUGCUACAAUGGCCGGUACAAACCGCUGCAAACCCGCGAGGGGGAGCUAAUCGGAAAAAGCCGGCCUCAGUUCGGAUUGGAGUCUGCAACUCGACUCCAUGAAGCUGGAAUCGCUAGUAAUCGCGGAUCAGAAUGCCGCGGUGAAUACGUUCCCGGGC